rnacentral:rRNA from 1 species
AGACCCGAAACCCGGUGAUCUAGCCAUGGGCAGGUUGAAGGUUGGGUAACACUAACUGGAGGACCGAACCGACUAAUGUUGAAAAAUUAGCGGAUGACCUGUGGCUGGGGGUGAAAGGCCAAUCAAACCGGGAGAUAGCUGGUUCUCCCCGAAAGCUAUUUAGGUAGCGCCUCGUGAAUUCAUCUCCGGGGGUAGAGCACUGUUUCGGCUAGGGGGCCAUCCCGGCUUACCAACCCGAUGCAAACUGCGAAUACCGGAGAAUGUUAUCACGGGAGACACACGGCGGGUGCUAACGUCCGUCGUGAAGAGGGAAACAACCCAGACCGCCAGCUAAGGUCCCAAAGUCAUGGUUAAGUGGGAAACGAUGUGGGAAGGCCCAGACAGCCAGGAUGUUGGCUUAGAAGCAGCCAUCAUUUAAAGAAAGCGUAAUAGCUCACUGGUCGAGUCGGCCUGCGCGGAAGAUGUAACGGGGCUAAACCAUGCACCGAAGCUGCGGCAGCGAACGUAUCACCCAAGACAACUUUACGGAGUUGACGAUUGACGGAGCGAAGCGACGUCAAAGCGUUCAUUAAAGUCGAGUUGGCUUAGGGAUACGUUCGUUGGGUAGG